CCUACGGGUGGCAGCAGUGGGGAAUAUUUGUCACUGGGCGCAAGCCUGACCCAGCAACGCCGCGUGAAGGAAGAAGGCUUUCGGGUUGUACACUUCUUUUCUGAGGGACGAAGCAAGUGACGGUACCUCAGUAAUAAGCCACGUCUAACUACGUGCCAGCAGCCGCGGUAAUACCUAGGUGGCAAGCGUUAUCCGGCUUUAUUGGGUGUAAAGGGCGUGUAGGCGGGAAAGCAAGUCAGAUGUGAAAACUCAGGGGUCAAACCUGGUCCUGCAUUUGAAACUGUUUUUCUUGAGUGCUGGAGAGGGAAGCGGAAUGCGGGGUGUAGCGGUGAAAUGCGUAGAUAUACGGAGGAACACCAGUGGCGAAGGCGGAUUGCUGGACAGUAACUGACGCUGAGGCGCGAAAGCGUGGGGAGCAAACAGGAUUAGAUACCCGGGUAGUC
rnacentral:rRNA from 1 species